rnacentral:rRNA from 1 species
GUGAGGAAUUUUCCGCAAUGGGCGAAAGCCUGACGGAGCAAUGCCGCGUGAAGGAUGAAGGCCUAUGGGUUGUAAACUUCUUUUCUCAGAAAAGAAUUAUGACGGUAUCUGAGGAAUAAGCAUCGGCUAACUCUGUGCCAGCAGCCGCGGUAAGACAGAGGAUGCAAGCGUUAUCCGGAAUGAUUGGGCGUAAAGCGUCUGUAGGUUGUUUAAAAAGUAUUCUGUCAAAGAUUAGGGCUUAACCCUAGAUAGGCAGAAUAAACUUUUAAGCUAGAGUUUGGUAGAGGCAGAGGGAAUUCCCGGUGGAGCGGUGAAAUGCGUAGAUAUCGGGAGGAACACCAAAGGCGAAGGCACUCUGCUGGGCCAAUACUAACACUGAGAGACGAAAGCGAGGGGAGCAAAUGGGAUUAGAAACCCCGGUAGUAC